GUAGGCCCUGCCUCUGAUGAAGCCUGUGUUGGUAGGGACAUCUGAGACUGUUGAUGAAUGCCAACGGCUCUGAUGGCGGUGC
ensembl:snoRNA